GCAGAAACAAGUGAGGUAUAACCUGAGACACCAUUAUAACCAAUCUACCAAUCAUCAGACCCAGUAGAACCUCAGGCAUACUCUAUGUCCAUCCUGCAUUGGUUUACACCAGAAGGCAAGGUCACCCUACUAGGGAUGGAUUUAUCAAUCUCAAUAACACCUAGAAAAGGAGUGCUCACAGAGCAUUUGACAGGAGAAAGCUGAAGACCCAAAAGGUUUCUUGUCAUGUUCAAGUGCCUGAGUGUACAUGUAGGUUUUGAGCCAAGCCAAGAAAAGCAAUUUACUGGGAGCAGUACUCCAUUACAUUGUAAACUGUUAUUGGAUUAAAUAAAUCAAACAAACAACAACCUAUAGUGGCUACGAAGCAGUUUGUAGUUGGAUAAUUAGUAAAUUUUAAUAAUGCCACGUGAAUGAUCUGAAAGGACAUGAUUUCAGUGGCUGUUUUUCCCCCCAGACCUGGUGACAUAAACCGAUAAACAUUGUGCCCCACUGAGAACAGCUCUGUGUGUCCUUAAGUCUUGGAGUGAACCUUGUAUCCUGAGAAAUGAAAAAAAAAAAAAAAAAA